CUUAUGACAGUAUGCUUCAUAUGCAUCAUUUCUUCGCUCCUCAGGUGUUGCUGAUCCUGGCGAUUGUUUCACCGUCUGCGCCCCUGCAUAUCUACCCUCAGGCUGGCGCUUGCGCGGUUGCUGAUCAUGGCCAAUGUGUUUUCAUCGACAGCACACGUGCUGAGACCUACGAGCCGCCUUCACACAGUUGGCUGGUGGACAGGAAGCUCGUCGCUUCUGGGACGACUACACCGGAAGAAACGCCCAUGCCCGGCUUCUUCAAAAGCAACGCGCGGAUGGUCUACCACUUUAGUGGGCAGUGGAGCAGCGCUUAUGACAGUAUGCUUCAUAUGCAUCAUUUCUUCGCUCCUCAGUUCUAAUUCAGCUGUGAGUGCAGAAGUCUUUGCCACAUGUACCUAAGCUGUUCCCUCGAGCUUGAACCAGACUGCAGCUGCAGUGAAUGCAUGCAGCAAUGGCAGUGUGAGCUGCGCCAAGGCAUAUUGGAGCCGGCUUGGUGAGCAUGGCUGCAUUGCUUCCAAGACUACUGCGGCCAGUCAGGCGAGCUGAGGUGCACAUUCUUAUUAGUCGGUCGGGUUUCCCCAAGACUAUUAAAGAAAAUGUGCGUAUAAAAAUAUAUUUAUUUCACUAAUGACUUUAUGCCGGCAUGAGAUCCGACAGACAUUGACAAAAAAAAGAAAAAGAAUGCACUGAAAGAAAGAGAAGAGAGAUAGAGCAAGUGUACUAAGUCCCAAGCAUGGUUAAAGGAAAUUGAUAUCUGUAUAUACAUAGGCACAGACAAGAGGAGAGAACGCAAGUUUUCCAGUUGCACCUCAACUUCAGGAAGGCAAGGAGCACUGGGCAUGAAUGUCUAGAAAAUAGAGCUCCGAUAUGCAACCAUAUACGCGACCCUGCGCUUCUAUGCAAUGCACAAUAGGUUUGCAAAGACCAAAUGAAGCGGUCAAAAAAGUUCAAAGGAAGCAGAGACCCCACCUCAGAAAAGCAGCAGACGAGAAAUUCAUUUAGCUCACACAAAACUAAUUCGGAACAAAAACGAGGCUGGGCAAUAUAACGAUACUUUUGACAGUAAGAAUAAUCUCCUCGCAAUUCUCAAGACAAUGACAAGAUACAUAAAGCAAAUGUACUAUAUGUAUACACACACACGCACACACACACAUAUAUAUAUAUAUAUGUAUUUGUUCUGUGUUAUCUAAAGGCACUUGUCACAAAUGGCGCACCAAAAGAAAGGAAAAAAAAAUAGCACAGCUUAAGCACAUGGGGCUCCAAGUGCAGCAUUCUGCAAUAAAGGAAAUACACCCAAGCUUGGAAACGGCAAACAAGGCUCGCCAUUUUCACUGAAACUGAGCUGCAACUGGCAAAAGUUGCGUAUUAAGAACACAGCCUUCGUAGUUAAAAGAAAA